rnacentral:rRNA from 1 species
AUUGAACGCUGGCGGCAUGCCUUACACAUGCAAGUCGAACGGUAACGGGCCUUCGGGUGCCGACGAGUGGCGAACGGGUGAGUAAUACAUCGGAACGUGCCCGAUCGUGGGGGAUAACGAGGCGAAAGCUUUGCUAAUACCGCAUACGAUCUACGGAUGAAAGCAGGGGACCGCAAGGCCUUGCGCGGACGGAGCGGCCGAUGGCAGAUUAGGUAGUUGGUGGGAUAAAAGCUUACCAAGCCGACGAUCUGUAGCUGGUCUGAGAGGAUGAUCAGCCAAACUGGGACUGAGACACGGCCCAGACUCCUACGGGAGGCAGCAGUGGGGAAUUUUGGACAAUGGGCGCAAGCCUGAUCCAGCCAUGCCGCGUGCAGGAUGAAGGCCUUCGGGUUGUAAACUGCUUUUGUACGGAACGAAAAGCCUUCUUUUAAUACAGGAGGGUCAUGACGGUACCGUAAGAAUAAGCACCGGCUAACUACGUG